rnacentral:lncRNA from 10 species
UUUAAGAGUUGCUUUAUAAUGAAGGAAAUUAUACAGAUAAAACUAAAUGAAAAAAAAAGAAAUCUAGGGCAAAAAAACUCUGAGCCCUAUGGUUACCAAGAAAAUAGUUGAUAUGGGGGAAUGGCAAAAUCAAGUAACUAUUUAAAACCAAAGGGUGUAAUGUAAAGGAAUUGUUCCAUUUUGUAAAUUGGUUUCAUUCAGCUUUGAAAAACAAUAACUACAACAACACCCAAAAAUCAGAAAAAACCUUUACUAUAGUGGAUUUUGGAUUGUAAAAAUAACCACUUUAAGGGCAAAAUUCUUAAUUUUAAAUGCUAUAGAAUUUAGAGCUUGUUUGGAUUAAUGCAGGACCCACAGCUCAUUCAUGAACAAUGACUGAGUAUAUGUGAUCCAAAUGCACAGGGUGUUAUCCUGAGAAAGCAAUCAGCCUUGUGGGCCAGAUAAAUCCAUUAUAAGAUCUGUCUUUCCCAGAGAAGGGGACUGCCCAACCCUCCCUAUAAAAUACCAAGUGAAGUGCCCCAGAUGAAGCAGUUGAUAUGUUUCAUAUGCAAGCCAUGUUGGACUAGGCUUUAUGAUAACUGGAAUAUCUUCCCAACAAAUAUGUCUAUUACCCAGGACAUGGUAAAUUUGGGGAUUAAGAGGGCCCUUUUACAUGGGUGCCCAUCCCACAGAAUCACAGGUCUGUGUAAGAAGACUUAUCUAAUCUGCUUUCCUUCAUAGGUCUUACAGAUGCAACUCCCUGCUGGGAACCCAAACCCGUUUCACCAGAAAAGUGAAAGCAUAAGGAAGGAAAUGGGCAUCUGCAAAGAAUCCAAGCAAGAGAAGGAGCAACCGGCUUGUGAACUCACUCCCUUAAGACAGCAUUAAUGUAUUCAAGGGGAUCUGCCCUGUGAUCCAAACACCGCCUACUAGGUCUCACUUCCCAACACUGCCACAUUGGGAAUCAAAUUUCAACAUGCGUUUUGUCAGCGACAAAUCACUUCCAAGCCAUAGCAACCACGUACCCACAAAUAAGAGUCGUAAUCUAUUAGGGUUUUUCUUAAGUUGAUCAUUUUUUCUGUAUAUAAAGUGACACAUUUCAGAAUAAAUUAGUAUGAUUUAAUCCUGUCUCAGUGACUAUUCUUUCUUUUAUCAAAAUGGUUUAUUAUGAUAAAUGUAGUGGUCAUAUUUCAAAUGCAUUGUUUACCUUUGCAUACACUGUAUAUAUAGAAUCCUCAAAAACAUAUGGUAUUAUGAAAUUUUUAUAUUUGCAUGUGCAAUAUCAUAUAACAUUAUUAUACAGUGUGCUUUUACCACUCAAAAUUAUGUUUCUGAGUUCUACAUCUAUCUAUAUCUAUGUAUGUAAAGAUUGACCUAUAUGUGAUAUUGUUCUACAAAUAGAAUUUUUCUAUUUUCAGUAAUUUAUUAUUAUGAACAUCAUGCUAUAAACAUUCAUAUGCCUUUCUACUUCUAUAAAGUUGCAAGAACUUCUCUGUCAUUUACUCAGAAGUAGUGUUUCUGGUCUUUAUAGUAACUUUUAUUUUUUAUUUAUUUUUUUAUUUCCAUAGUUUUGGGGGUACAGGUGGUUUUUGGUUACAUGGAUGAGUUCUACAGUGGUGAAUUCUGAGAUUUUAAUGAACCCAUCACCCAAGCAGUGUACACUGUACCAAAUAUGUAAUCUUUUAUUUCUCACUCCCCUCUCAACCUCUGACCUUGAGGCCCCAAAGUCCAUUAUAUAAUUCUGUGUGUCUUGGACUCAUCAAAGCUUAGCUUCCACUUAUAAAUGAGAACAUAUGGUAUUUGGUUUUCCACUCCUGAGUUACUUCACUUCAAAUAAUGGCCCCAGCUCCAUUCAACUUGCAGCAAAUAUUUCAUUCCUUUUUAUGGCUGAGUAGUAUUCCAUGGUGUAUAUACACUACAUUUUCUUUAUUGAUCACUCAUUGGUCAGUGGGCACUUAGGUUGAUUCCAUAUCUUUGCAAUUGCUAAUUGUGCUGCUAUAAACGUGUGUGCAUGUGUUCUUUUCAUACAAUGACUUCUUUUCCUUUGGAUAGAUACCCAGUAUUGAGAUUUCUAGAUCAAAUGAAAGUUCUACUUUUAGUUCUUUAAGGAAUCUCCAUACUGUUUUCCAUAGUGGUUGUACUCAUUUACAUUCCCACAAGAAGUAUAACAGUUCUUCCUUUUCGCCAAAUCCAACAAAUAUCUAUUGUUUUUGACUUUUCAACUGUGGUCAUUUUUGCAAGAUUAAGGUGAUAUUUCAUUGUGGUUUUAAUUUGUAUUUCCAUGAUAAUAAGUGAUGUUGAGCACACUAAUGUGUUUGUGUAUCUUUAUCUUCUUUGGAUAAAUGUUUGUAUAUCUUCUUUGGAGAAAUGCCUGUUCACAUCCUUUACCCACUUUUUGAUAGGAUUAUUUGCUUUUUUUCUUUUGAUUUGUUUGAGUUCCUUAUAGAUUCUGGAUACUAGUCCUUUGUCAUAUGCAUAGUUUGCAAAUAUGUUCUCUCAUUCUGUGGGUUUUCUGUUUACUCUGCAUAGCAAAAUAAAUAUUUUUUUUCUAUGCAGCAGGUUUAUAGUUUAAUUACGUCCCAUUUAUUUAUUUUUGUUUGUGUUGAAUUUGCUUUUGGGGUCCUAGUCAUUAAUUAUUUGCCUAGGCCAAUGUUCCAAAGAGUUUUUUCAAAGUUAUCUUCUACAAUUUCUAUGGUUUCAGGUCUUAGAUUUAAGUCAUUGAUACACCUUCAGUUGAUUUUGUAUAAGGGAAAAGAUGAGGAUCCAGUUUAAUUCUUCCACUAGUGGCUUGCCAGUUACCCAGCCCCAUUUCUUAAAUAGGGUUUCUUUUCCCCCGUUUAUGUUUUUGUAUGCUUUGUUGAAGAACAGUUGGCUGUAAGUAUUUGGCUUUGUUUCUGGGUUCUCUUUUCUGUUCCAUUGGUCUAAGUGCCUGUUUUUACACCAGUGUAAUACUGUUUUGAUAACUGUAACUUUGUAGCAUAAUUUGAAUUCCAGUAAUGUCAUGCCUCAAGAUGUGUUAUUUUUGCUUAGAUUACUUUGGCUAUUGGGGCACUUUUUUAGUUCCAUAUGAAUAUUAGAAUUGUUUCUUCUACUUCUGUGAAAAAUGGUGAUAGGAUUUUGAUGGGAAUUGCAUUGAAUCUGUAGAUUUCUUUGGGGAUAGUGGUGAUUUUUGCAAUAUUAAUUCUUCCCAUCCAUAAGCAUGGGAUGUGUUUCCAUUUAUUUGUUUGUGCCAUCUAUGAUUUAUUUCAGUAGCGUUUUGCAGUUUUCCUUGUAGAGAACUUUCACUUCCUUGGAUAAGUAUAUUCCUAGGUAUUUGUGUUUUUUUGCAGCUUUUGUAAAGGCGAUUGAGUUCUUUAUUUGAUUAUCAGCUUGGUUGUUGUUGGUGUAUAGCAGUACUACUGAUUUGUGUACACUAAUUUUGUAACCUGAGACUUUAUUGAAUAUGUUUAUCAAAUCUAGGAGCUAUUUGGAUGAGUCUUUAGGGUUUUCUAGGUAUGUAAUCAUAUCAUCAAAGGACAGUGACAGUGUGACUUCCUCUUUUUUAAUUUUGAUGCCCUUUAUUUCUUUCUCUUGCAUUAUUUCUCUUCCAGUGCUAUGUUGAAUAGAAGUCAUGAAAGUGGGCAUCCUAUUCUUUUUCCAGUUUUCAGGGGGAAUGCUGUAAACUUUUAUUCAGUCAAUACGAUGUUGGCUGUGGAUUUGUUAUAUACAGUUUUUAGUACUUUGAGGUAAGUCCCUUCUAUGCCUACUUUGUUGAGAGCUUUUACCACAAAGGGAUACUGGAUUUUAUCUACUGCUGUUUCUGUGUCUAUUGAGAUAAUUAUAUGGUUUUUUGUUUUUAAUUUUGUUUAUAUGAUGUCUAGUUUCCUUUUUGUUAUGUCCUUUCCUGGUUUUGAUGUUAGGGUGAAACUGGCUUCAUAGAAUUCUUUAGGGAGAGUUCCUUAUUUCUGUAUCUUUUGGAAUAGUUUCAGUAGGCUUGCUACCAAUUCUUCCUUGAAUGUCUGGUAGACUUCAGCUGUGAAUCAACCUGGUUGUAGACAUUUUUUUUCCUUGGCAGUUUUUUUAUUACUGAUUCAAUCUCACUGCUUGUUAUUGUUCUGUUCAGGAUUUCUAUUUUUUCCUGGUUUAAUGUAGGAGGAUUAGAUGCUUCCAAGAAUUAAUUCAUUUCAUCUAGAUAUUCUAGUUUGUGCUUUUAAAGGUGUUCAUUGUAGCCUUGAAUAAUCUUUUGUAUUUCUGUGGCAUCAGUUGUAAUGUCUCUAGUUUCAUUUCUAAUUGAGCUUAUUUGAAUCUUAUCUCUUCUUUUCUUGGUUAAUCUCCCUAAAGGUCCAACACUUUCUUUUAUGUUUUCAACAAACCAGUUUUUUUGUGUGUCAUUUAUCUUUUGUAUUUUUCCAGUUUCCCUUUCAUUUAAUUCUGCUCUGAUCUUUGUGAUUUUUUUUUUUCUUCUCCUGGCUUUCAGUUUAAUUUGCUCCUGUUUCUGUAGUUCCUUGAAGCGUGACAAGAGGCUACCAUUUGUGCUGUUUCAGACUUUUGGAUAUAGGCAUUUAAUGCUAUAAAAUUUCCUCUUAGCGUUGCUUUUGCUGUAUCCUGGAGGAUUUGAUAACUUGUGUCACUAUUAUCGUUCAUUUCAAAGAAUUUUCUAAAUUACUAUCUUGAUUCCAUUGUUAAUCCAAAAAUCAUUCAAGAGCAGAUUAUUUAAUUUCCAUGUAUUUGUAUAAUUUUGAGGGUUCCUUUUGAAGUUGAGUUCCAGUUUUAUUUCCCUGUGGUCUGGGAAAGUACUUGAUAUAUCAAUUUCAAUUACCUUAAAUUUAUUAAAACUUAUUUUGUGGCCUAUAAUAUGGUCCUAUCUUGGAGAAUGUUCCAAGUGCCGAUGAGAAUGUAUAUUCUACAAUUCUUGGGAAGAAUUUCUGUAAAUAUCUGUUAAGUCCAUUUGUUCUAGGGUAUAAUUUAAGUCCAUUGGUUCUUUGUUGACUUUCUGUCUUUAUGAUCUGUCUAGUGCUGUCAAUGGAGUAUUAAAGUCCCCCACUAUUAUUUUUUUGCUGUCUGUCUCAUUUCUUUGGUCUAGUAAUAAUCUUAUUAAAAAUCUGGGAGCUUUAGUGUGAGGUGCAUAUAAAUUUAGGAUUGUAAUAUCUUCUUGUUGGACUGAUUCUUUUAUCAUUAUAUAAUACCCUUCUUUGUCUUUUUAUACUGCUAUUUCUUUAAAGUCUGUUUUGUCUGAUGUAAGCAUAGCUUCUCCUACUUAAUUUUUAUUUGUGUUUGUAUAGAAUAUCUUUUUCUAUUCUUUUGCCUUGAGUUUAUAGAAAUCCCUAUGUGUUAAGUGAGUCUCUUGAAGAAAGAGGAAAUUUGGUAUGUGAUUUUUAAAAAUCCAUUCUGCCAUUCUGUAUCUUUUAAGUGGAGUAUUUAGACCAUUUAUAUUCAAUGUUAAUAUUGAGAUGUGAGAUACUGUUAGAUUCAUCAUGUUAGUUGUUACCUACUUUGUGUUUUUUUUUCAUUGUGCUAUUAUUUUAUAGACCCUGUGAAUUUUAUACUUUUAGAAGGUUCUAUUUGGUUUAUAUUGAGUUUUUGUUUCAGGAUUUAGACUCAUUUUAACAUUUCUUGUAGAGUUGGUUUGGUAGGGGCAAAUUCCCUCAGCAUUUGUUUGUCUGAAAGAUCUUUCUUGCUGCUGCUUCAACUUUUAUAUUUCUCACUGCUCCCUCAAUCAGUUCUAGCCCUGGGUAGGGUUAAGGUCUUCUCCCUUGGCCUGAAUUCUUAGGUUCCCUGAUGGAAAUGUAUAUCCUAAAGGCAGUCUCUCUCCCUCUCACACUCUGAGGACUUAUAGAUUUUUGCCUGUCUCAUGGAGUAAGCUGCAGCCUGGCGCUGCCUUCAAAAGGUCUGUGGAUUCUUUUUUUUUUUUUUUUUUUCUGUUAAGUUCUUGCAUUGAAUCUUAUACUGUGAAUCUCUACACACUAUUUUGUCUGUCCAAGUGAGAGAGGCAUGCUAACACUGCCUGCAAUCUGCCAUCCUGGAAAAAAAACAAAACCAAAAGCUUUACAUUAAAAAUGAAUCCUACCAAAAAUAUCUCUAAGGUGGUUGUCAAAAAUUUGUAUUUUCUUCAUUAAUCCACAUGCUUGCCAAAAUUAAUAUAAGCAAAUAAUUUAUUAUUUGAAACACUGAUGAUAUUGUCUUGUGUAUUUUAACUUUUUUCAUAUAUAAUAUCUAAUAUACAUAUAAUAAAAUGUGUAUGUCAAAAUCAUAGUUUGCUUAAUUUGCACAAAUUGAACACACGUGUGCAACCAACAAUCGUAACUCAGAUUAGGAAAUAAAAUUCUACCACUAUUUCAAUUACCACCUCAUGCUCCCUUCCAGACACUACCUAUCUCAAAUGUCACCAUAGUCCUAGUUUCAAGUAAAUUUAUUUUACCUAAAUCAUUCUUUAGAUAAAUUGUGGCUUACAGUCAAUAUUCUAUUGUGUCUGACUUCUUCUGCUUAGCAUUUUGUUAGUGAGAUUAAUCUUCAUAGUUGUACACAGAUAAUGUAUUCUAAGUUUUGGUAGUCAUGUUUUACAGCAUUUCAUUGUAUCUAUAUACCCUAUUUUAUUUAUACAUUCAAAUUUGAUGGGAAUAAAGUAUAUUUUGGGGAAGUGAGUGCUAUUAUAAAUAGUAUAGCUAUAAGCUUUUUAGUAAAUAUAAUUUAAUUAACAAGUGUAUUAAUUCAUUUUGUGUAUAUAUCUUCAAAUGCACUUAGGGGGCCACAGGAUACACAUAUGUUCAAUUUUAGAAGAUAACGAAAAAUAUUUUUCCAGAAUCAUUGUUCAAAUGUAUACUCUCACCAGCGGUGUAUAAAAUAUUGGAUGUACAUAUCCCGGACAAAACUUGGAAUUGUCAUUCAUUUUCAUUUUAGCCAUUCUUGUUUGUGAAAAUUUAUAUCAUUUCACUGGUGGUUGAUGGAGUUAAACAUCUUUUAAAAAGAUGCUUAUUGUCCAUUUAAAUAUGCUUUAAUGUGAAAUACUCAUUUCUUCUUGCUGCUUUUUGGAUCAUUUAGCAUUUUCUUGUUCAUUUGUUGUAUAAAAUAAAUCGAUAUAAGUACAGUGACGAUCUUUCAUUAAUUAGUAGCUUGUCUUUUUCUUCCUUAACUGUAAUUCUUGAAGAACAAGUGUUCUCAAUUUUAUUAUAGCCUGUGUUUUCCUAUAACAAAUUGUGCUUAGUGAAACAUGUUUUAAAACUAUCUAUCCCACAUUAUUAUCAUAAAUCUAUUUUUCUAUAGCCCCCUCUAAAAUAUUUAUUGUUUUAAUUUUAUAAUUAUAUGUGCAAUCAUUUUGAAUAUAAUCAAUAAUAUAACUUAGAAUAUAUGAAAUAAACAUUGAUGGAAAUAAAUUAAAUACAGACAUUCCAUAAUUCUGGUGGUGGGACUUCAACACAUUUUCCUCAACAGCUAAUAUUACCAGUCAAAAUAUCAGUGUGGCUGUAAAAUGUGUGAACAAAACAAUCAUUAAAUUUGACCUAAUAGGCAUUUAUGGAACACUUUGCAUAAUUACAUUCUUUUCAAUUGUUUAUGCAACAUUUACGACAUUGACUUAUAAAGAAAAUGACCAAUUUCAAAAUAUUAAAAUCCUUUGUGUUUUUUCAGAACUUAAACAAAAAUCGGAUUUAAGCUAAAAAUAAACAAGUAGAUAACCAGAAAAAAAUCCAAUUUGCAGAGUAAAAUGUAUACACUGCUAAAUAAUUAUAAAGUUAAAUAACCAUAUACAAAUUUUAAAAAUAUUUGAACAUAAUGAUAAUAUGGCAGCCACGGCAUAUUCUCUCUUGUAUGAUGCAGCUAUCAUAAUACUUAGAAAUAAUUUGAUAGCCUUAAACAUAUAUACUAGAGAAGAAAAAUCAGAAGAAAAUUAAUGACUUAAUUUUCCAUUUCAAAAAGUUAGAAGAAUAACCGGAAAAUCAAAUCUGAAGGACAAAGAAGAAAUAAUCCAACCUAGAACAAGAGUCAAUGAAAUAGAAAACAAACAUAAAAUAGAGCAAAUCAAGAAAGCUAACCAUAGUCCGUCUAAAAAGAUUUAUUAAAUUAAUAAAUUUAUAGCAAGAUGAUAGAGACUAAAUAGAGAUGUUUCCAAAAUCAGAUGUUUCCAAUUCUUCCAAAAAAGAAUAAUACCAAACAAGAGUAUCAUCCCAAAUCUUCCUGACAAACUUAAAGUAACAAGUGAACAUUGUGAGCAACUAAACAUUACAUUUGAUAGUUUGAAUAAAGUAGAUUAAUUCUCCAAAUAAUUACCCUACUGAAGACUACUGGAGAAGAAAUAUAAGACAUGAAGGCUCUGAUAUCAUUAAAAUAUUAUAAAGACAUUUUUUAAAAACCUUUCAAUACAGAAAGACCAAAGAUAUGAUGGACCCAGUGGUGAAUUUUUCUUAAACAUGUUUUCCUUUAAGAAAUUAAGGAACAAAUAAAGUUAAUCUUACACAAGUCAUUUUAGGGAGUAGAAAAUGAGUGGAAAUUUACACUUGGAGACUACUGAAUCCCUGCUUCUAUAACUGUGACUGAAACUUGGCCACGUAAUUAAUAUCAAAACAUUUCUCCUAUUUUUGAAAAAUUGACUUAAAAUUAUAUCUCACAUAAUUGUAAUUUUGACUACAACUCUAACUAAAUUAUCUUUGUUAUUCCCAUUAUUAUUCUCAUUUCUUUUUUAAUUGAUCACAGUUUUGUUUUAUUUUAUAUUUGUUUCUAAAGCAACAACAUACAUAAAAGCAACAAGGAAAUUAUAACUAUUUUGAGAGUGUCUGAAAUCACUCGGGUGAUUUUCAAGAAUGAAUACUUUAGUCUGGAAAAGAAGUAAGAAAACCUAAACUUGCAAAGGACAUUGCUUGCAGGGCACUCUAACAACCAAAAACCGUGGUGUAGAAGUUCACCUGCCCAGAAUGUAAUACUAGUCCCUACUCAACUUCCAGAUACUCAGUUUCGAUCUAUAAAAUGUAAGAAAUGGUAUUGCAUUCCUCAAAGAAUUGUUUUUGAAGAAUUAUGAGAUGAUUAUAAAUUCCUCAGAACAGUGCAUGACUUUGGUAUGCGCUUAGUAUCAGACAUUAUUUAUUAUUGAUAACUCAUGAGUGAAUGAUAAGACAGGGUGUAAAAAGAGGUAGUUUUAAGUGCAGGGUAAGUGUAUGUGCAAACAGCUGCAGAAAGAUCUCUUUAUGAAGGGCAAUGUGGGAGAGUUCAUCCAUUUAAGGAGUUCUAGGUGUGGUUUCUGUGGAAUAUAGAUUGCUUACAAGUGAGGCUUUGAAAGCUUGGGCAAUGACUGGCUUUAGGGACAAAAGACUAUCUUAUUUUUGUAAGCAAUGUAUUGAGGGUAAUGUCCUGUGUGAGUCUGAGUACCUCUACCAUGUAGCCUUGUAGGGUAGCUUAAGGACUAUGAGACUGAGGAAGGUCAAUGCUGAGUGAACAUUCAUGACAUGGGACAAAGAGAACAAGAAGAUGCCUUAAGACUGGAUCCUUUAUGAAUAUUUGUUUUUCUGUUUCUUCCACUUUUUUAUAAAGAUGGAAUGGAAGGAUUGACCUGAAUUCCUCCAUUUGAGAAAGAAUAACACUGAUCUUGCAAAAUAAUUGUAUAGAGAUACAUAACAAGAUGACAAGUUUAUACACAAAAUUGCAAAAAAGCUGCAGCUUCUUCAGUUUCUAUGUUAAGCCUCUUGAGCUUCAAGGCACCAGGGGUUGUGGGAGAACAUUUAACUUACCAACGAACUUACUCUAGUCUCUGGGUUUUAAAACAAUCUCUAUUUCUCUGGUCUAUGAGCCUGUCUCCUUUGGAGAACUUCUUGUUUUUAUUCUGUUUCUGGUUUGUUUUGUUUGGGUUUUAAGGUGCGUGUAAAUAAUAGGAGGCUUGCCUGGUUUUGUUUGUACCUAGAGAGUAAUGUUAAUAUUUCAACACUGGUCUUUGCUUUAUCUUCUGUGCAGUGAUGACUCCCUACAGUGAGAUGAAUAGUCUGGCCAGGUCUGUAGGUAAUGUAUAUUCUUGCCCUUGAAAAAGGGAAAACUUAAGUUGUUGCAGUCCUAUGAUUCAGGCAAGAACUGUGAUACUGCUUUGUUGACAUGCUUUGACCUGCAGACCUCUGAAUGAACACUCUUCAUGCUAUCUUUGCAUAAAGAGUUGUUGCUUUCUAGCUUUUUUGGUUAGUGUCCACUGCCUCUAUCCAGAAGGCUCUCAACUCAGUGACUCUUUUAAUCACCCACAGAAAUAUGGGAUUUUUGUAUCCACUAAAUACCAAAAAUCUAUUUAUUAAGACAGGGAGUUCUCAUUCUUUUUGUCUACGCAUGUAAUACACAUAAUGUUUUCUUUUUCAUAACUAUGCUUUUGGCAUAAGACCACACUGGUUGACCCUUACAAUUAUGAUUAGGUUUUCAGUUAACCUAAUGAACACCCAUCCUCUUCAGAAUUUUAAUUUGUAGUCUGUAGCCAAGAUACAACCAGUCUGACUGCAUGCUUCCCUCACUUUGUUUCCUAUAAUUUUCUCACCCUUCUGACUUUCAGAAGAAAAAGUACAGGAUUUCCCUGCUUCCUGGAAGAAUGAGGACUGUUCAUUCCAUUAUACAUUGUAGUGUUUAGCUGUGUUAUAUGAUAAAACUGAACAUUCAAGCAGUCAGGCCUGCCUCUUAUAUAAGAAGCUUAAAUAUUUUAAAUAAGUUUUAAAUCGCUUUUUACAAAAAUGUAUGACCAUUUGCAUUUCAAGUAUUUUCUAGGGCUCUGAUGUCUAAUACAAUAGUUAUUACUCACAAGUGGCCAUUUAGUAAUUGAAAUGCAGAUUGUUGAAAUUGAUAUGUGUCAUGAGUGUAAAAUAUAUGCCACAUUUUACAGACUUAUGAAAAACAUAAUAUAAAAUAGCUGGAUAAUAUUUUUGUUCAAAUGAAAUUUUUUGUACAUAUUUGGUUAAAUACAAUUAAUUUAAUGUUUCUUUUUAGUUUUGAAAAAUUAUGCCUUCCAGACAAUUUAACAUUAUCUGUGUGAUUCACAUUAUAUGUCUAUUGGACAGUGCUAUUCUAGGGACUGAAAUGAGCCAUCUGUGUGCUAAAUCUGAACAUUAACUCUUCAUUUCUCUUUCAUUUCCUCUGUAACAAAUCUAAUUUCUCUUGUGGCUUCAUCUGACAGAAUGAAUACCUGGAAAAGAAGAAAAGCGCAUGAACAUUUUUUUAUUGAUGUAUUUUUCUUGUUUUGAAUAUGAGCAAGAGGAUUUUAAGGGCAAACAGAGUGCCAGGAAUUCCCUACAAAGUUUCCAUCAGGAAUUUAAUUCUUUGAAGGAAAAAGAGCACUGAUGGAAGGAGAAUCCUUACUGAAAAAAAUUCAGUGGCACAUAUUGAAAAAAAAUAAUAAGCAUGUAAGGGAGCAUAUUGGCUAUGGCUGUUUGAUACCUUGGCCCAAAGCAAGAGGACAAGAUAUUUAUAUUUCAUUCAUCUUCAUUUGCUUUAAAUUGAGGUCCAAUUUACAAUAUGUAAAAUUAAUUAUUAAUUAUUUUAACACAUAAAAUUAAGUGUCAUUUGGUUCAUUCACAAGAUUGUGGAGCGUCUAUCUGCUUCCAAGACAGUCUCAUCACCCCAAAACGUUUUGAAAGUGGGCAAACUCCUACUCUUAAGGAUUGUUGUUUGCAGGCCAGGCACAAUGCCUCACACCUGCAAUCCCAGCAGUGUGAAUGGCUGAAGCAGGAGGACGCUUGAGCCCAGGAGUCUGAGACCAGCCUGGGCGACAUAACAAGACCCCAUCUCAAAAAGAAGAAGAAAAAAAAACUAUAAAAAGGAUUCCUGUUUGCUAAUGGGAUCGCACUUUUUGGUUCUGAUUAUGACAGUGGCAUAAUUGAAGUCGCUUUUUAUCUGACCAAUGUUAGCAGCGAAGAGCACAGUGUACUCGCCACUCUCCUCAUUCACUCUUCAGGCCGCAUAGUCUCACAUUCCUUUGGGAAAGUUGUUCUCAUUACCGCCAUCUUGACACUGUCUGUUCUGUGCAAGCAAAACUGUAAAUGUCUUUAGAGUAAUUUGUAAUCUAGAAAAUAAAAUGAAUUAUUGGUCUUCCAGCUUUGUCUACUGUUUAUUGAGUUUAUUUUAAUACCUCUUCUCUGCUUCCAUUAUACCUCUGCUUGAACCUUAAGGCUCCUACGUAUUAGGUCACCAAUUUUAUACAUAUACUAUGUAUUAGGUCACCACUUUUGUACACUUUUAUAUACAGCAUUUAGUCUCAUGCUUUGUAUACUAAAGAGAACAGUACACAUAAAUACGA